rnacentral:rRNA from 1 species
GUGAGGAAUUUUCCGCAAUGGGCGAAAGCCUGACGGAGCAAUGCCGCGUGAAGGAUGAAGGCCUAUGGGUUGUAAACUUCUUUUCUCAGAAAAGAAUUAUGACGGUAUCUGAGGAAUAAGCAUCGGCUAACUCUGUGCCAGCAGCCGCGGUAAGACAGAGGAUGCAAGCGUUAUCCGGAAUGAUUGGGCGUAAAGCGUCUGUAGGUUGUUUAAAAAGUAUUCUGUCAAAGAUUAGGGCUUAACCCUAGAUAGGCAGAAUAAACUUUUAAGCUAGAGUGUGGUAGAGGCAGAGGGAAUUCUCGGUGGAGCGGUGAAAUGCGUAGAUAUCGGGAGGAACACCAAAGGCGAAGGCACUCUGCUGGGCCAAUACUAACACUGAGAGACGAAAGCGAGGGGAGCAAAUGGGAUUAGAUACCCCUGUAGUCC